UGCAGUCGAGCGCAGUCCUUCGGGACCGAGCGGCGGACGGGUUAGUAACGCGUGGGAACAUACCCCUUUCUACGGAAUAGCCUCGGGAAACUGAGAGUAAUACCGUAUAAGCCCUUCGGGGGAAAGAUUUAUCGGGAAGGGAUUGGCCCGCGUUAGAUUAGAUAGUUGGUGGGGUAAUGGCCUACCAAGUCUACGAUCUAUAGCUGGUUUUAGAGGAUGAUCAGCAACACUGGGACUGAGACACGGCCCAGACUCCUACGGGAGGCAGCAGUGGGGAAUCUUAGACAAUGGGCGCAAGCCUGAUCUAGCCAUGCCGCGUGUGUGAUGAAGGUCUUAGGAUCGUAAAGCACUUUCGCCAGGGAUGAUAAUGACAGUACCUGGUAAAGAAACCCCGGCUAACUCCGUGCCAGCAGCCGCGGUAAUACGGAGGGGGUUAGCGUUGUUCGGAAUUACUGGGCGUAAAGCGUACGUAGGCGGAUCAGAAAGUUAGGGGUGAAAUCCCGAGGCUCAACCUCGGAACUGCCUCUAAAACUCCUGGUCUUGAGUUCGAGAGAGGUGAGUGGAAUUCCAAGUGUAGAGGUGAAAUUCGUAGAUAUUUG
rnacentral:rRNA from 1 species